UCCCUACGGGGGGCAGCAGUCGGGAAUAUUGCGCAAUGGAGGAAACUCUGACGCAGUGACGCCGCGUAUAGGAAGAAGGUUUUCGGAUUGUAAACUAUUGUCGUUAGGGAAGAUAAAAGACUAUACCUAAGGAGGAAGCUCCGGCUAACUAUGUGCCAGCAGCCGCGGUAAUACAUAGGGGGCAAGCGUUAUCCGGAAUUAUUGGGUGUAAAGCGCUCGUAGGCGUUAUGUCAAGUCAAGGGUGAAAUCCCCGCGCUCACCGUGGGAACUGCCUUUGAAAUUGGCAAACUGGAGUGUGUGAGAGG
rnacentral:rRNA from 1 species